AUUUUUAAUACAGUCUGAUCAGAUCAAUUCACAUCACAAGGUCAACCUGGGCUUGCUCACAUGUGACACAACUGAGGUACACAAUGUCCCUACCUGCCGGCUGUCCCACCUUCCUGGUUCCCAACAGCAUUGAAACCCCCUACUUCCCUGACCAGACUGGCAUUUUUUUAAAUUUUGCAUAAAACUAUUUCUUCCAUAGACUUCAAACAAUCAACUAGCCAAGUUAAUUAUGGUACAUCUAAACAAAGUUUAAUACUAACCCUAAUGUGUGACUGCGGUUUACAAAGAGCUCUGUAUCACCUGGGAUAGCUUUCAGUAGCAAUUCACUACAACUGGUCCUAAAAAAUAAUAACAAUAAUAAUAAUAAUUAGAGAAUUAAAACCCAACAGCAUGUUGAAUGGUUAAAAUCACGUAAGAACUGAAAUUUGGGGUGGGGGUGUCCUCAACAGCUGAGCUUGUCCUAGCAGUGAAAAUGCUCGCCUCCAAGCAGGGCUCAGAAAGGUCUGGAGCCCUCCAGGCAGAGGGCUGAGCUCGGGGGGCUCUUGGAGGACACUCACCCCAUGGUCCAUGGGAUGCUUCUGGUUCCUUAAAAACAGUUGGGCAUCCGCAUUGUAUAAGUAGGUGGAGACCCUAGUGUGGUUCUUUUGAAGGAUAUGGGAAGGGAGGAUGACGAACUAGAGAAGUGGGAGGGGACCAAAAUCACUGAGGUCCCAGAAUAUCAUAGAUUUGGGUAUAGGAUUGGGGUCACUAAGAAUUGAGCACCAGGAAUUCCAGCUUCUUCCCAUUAGAGAAACUGGGACUGGUUUUGCCUUGGAGGCCUAUGUAGUGUUUUCUGCCCCUGUCCCAUACCAAGUCUCACUGAUAUUUCUGCAGAAUAUCAGAUGAAAAUCUAUUUCUAAAGACCAUUGGGAGAAUGGGUGGUGGAGAAGGAGUUGGAGUGGGGUUGGGGGACAGUUAAAAAUGAAUAAAAAUCUCUCAGCUACAGAACCCAAACAUCACUUCCCUCCGCAUUCACAGCAUUUCCCAGCAGUCCCCAGAUGGUUGUUUCCGUGGGGACACAGCAGCUGCCUCAUUUCCCUUCAGGCCCCAUGGGCUGCUGGUCAACCUCAGGAUCUACUAAAGAUGAUGCAAAUGCCGACUGAACAAUCUGAAACCCAAAGGACUCGAGGAGAGACAUGUUCUGCUGAGGAGAGAAAGAACUGUAAGAGAAAGCAACAUUCACCUUUGUGUCACAGAUCAAAUGGUAACCCACUGAGGACCACCCCAUUACCUCGUGCUAGAACGGAACUGCCUCUGCCAUCUCUCUUUAACAGAAGCACAUCCUGAGAACCUGAGAGCUCAAGGUAAGUGGCUGAACACUGUCAACACAUACAGACAUCUAACUAUCUCCUUACUGUACAGCCAU
rnacentral:lncRNA from 1 species